rnacentral:rRNA from 1 species
AUGGCGAGGAACGCGCCAGAGCAUUUGCAGGGCGAGGAAGAGGCCGGCAGGGGCGCGGCAAAACAUGGAGGCAGGGCCCUCAGGCUCGAGCGGUGGCUCUGUCUCGGCGAGGCUGGCAAGGCCGAGGCGGCGAGGCCGCAACGCCAUGGGGACGGAGGUGGAGGCGAGGUGAACCGCGACGAGAGGAAGGGGAAGACCACGGAGCUCCUGUUGGUGGCAACGAAGAGAGGCGGCGGCUCUCCUGGCAGGAAGCAGCAGGCGAUGGCGCUGGUCGUCGAUGGUGAAGGAGCAUCGGGACCUGGACGGCUUGCCGAUGAGGAGGCGCCAUGGCGACCAGGUUCACCGGCAGCAACCUCGCGGGCAGAGGAGACUGGCAAGACGCGGUGCUCGGAGGAGGCAAGCGGGAAAAUGCCUCAGGCGCUCGGGGCUGCAGAGGCGAUGGGAGGAGGGAGCGGGGCUUCUCCCUGGUGCGUUGCGAGGAGAGCGAGAGGAGGGAGAGAUGGGGAUCGGAGAGAGAGCGAGAGAUGGCAUCGAGGGCGUGGCGGCGGCCAUGGGAACGAGAGAGGGAGAGGGUGCACGUGGGGAACGGGCUAG